GAGGUGACAGUCACCUCCCGCUGGAACAGCCCCUCACAUUCUCAGCGAGGCAGGACUUGGGUCGCAGACCCGGGUGGCCCUGGGCCUCCAGCAGCCCAUCGGGGUGGGGUCUGCAGGGCAUCCACGGGAGCCACAGGGCCUCUCCUCUCGGGACAUUCCGAAGUGCUGCUGUGCUUCUGACAGCCCGGACUCCUCUUCCACGCUGAGCCCUGCGAGCUCUUCCCCUCGCCGACUGCUUCCAAGGAAAGCACCUGACCUGCAAAGUGAGCGCCAGUCAGGGCUGCGGGCAGAACACACAUGGCUACUUAUUCCAGAAUAUUGCCAUUCCUGCCAACUCUCUGUGUCCUUGGUCCCACGUUUGAUAAUUAGGUCACCACUCUACUAGGUAGGGGCUACCACGGAACCAGCGAUGACCCCAACAUUUCUGUAGAUGGCCUUGGGGGACGGGCAAUCCGGGCUGCGCAAGAGUUUGAAUGACAGUGAACAGCCCUCUACGUCGGCACAGGAAGACUCCCCCACCCCCGGGCUCGACACAGCCAUUAAUCUAGAAGCAACAACCCCGCUUCUCAGAGGCCUCUCACAUGCACGCCUGGAGAAGGCACUCAGGAAGUUAACGUCAGCAGGUUAAGUAGCUGCCUUGAAACGCUGCUGUGACUGGCACCCUGCUGACCUCCCUCACCCCUCCUUACAGUCUGUUUUAUUUCUCCUUCACUGUCCGGCACAACCCCCAGCACGGAAGCUCCAGGAACCGGCUUCACCUUCCUACUCCCGGGCCUCGCGCGCGGCCUGGCACGGCAACACUUGAUCUUCUUCCAAGGACGGACGCAGCGUGUGGGUGUCGCGGGCGGCGCGAUCGCCGUGCUCUGCGCGCUGUCACUCGCCUGGUCCUCGGCGCCGCCUUCCGGGGACGCGGGCGCCGCCCGGCCGCAAGGAGGCGGAGGAGGGGGACCGGGACCCUCGCCACCCUCGUGGGCUCUGCCACCGCCUCCGGGCGGGCAGCGCGAGGGCCAGCGACGUGCCUCGGGGCGCUCGGGUCCGGGGACAGCGCGGGGCUCCCCGAGGCGGCGCGGGAAGGGACUUGCACGCCCGCUCGGACUUUUAGAGACUGCUGCAUUAUGAUCAGCUCCGUCAGAAGUCUCAGAACCUGUUUGCAGCUGGGCGGAGACUGCAGAGGGCGUUGGAGUUUGGACAGCACCAGAAGAGGAAUCUGGAGAUGUGUCUUAGCCUGACUCUGACACUUGCUCUCGGUGGGUUUUUGAUGAAGCCACACUUCCUCUGUGAACUUUCUUUUUCUCAUCUGUGAAACCAGGGAUGGUAACUAAGAUGAUCCCUAAGACCUGAUGGACGCAGAAGAGUCUGGAACUUGCCUGGGCUAAGGGGGGGAGAGGAGAGCCCAUAAAGACCCAGGUUGACUGGGCUCAGCUUGGCAGUCCUUCUGCUGCACGUCUGCUGGAACUGCAGCCAUCUAGAAGCCGACGGGCCAGAGUGUCCAAGUCUGGCCAUUGGUGGGGAAAGCUGGGAGGCUGGGCUCAGGCGAGAUGGCUGAAUCUCUUUCCUCUCCUUGUAAUCUCAAGGCAUCUCCUUCUCCAUGUGGCUUCUCCGCAGUCUAGACAGCAGGAUAGCUGGACUUGCUAUGUGGGGGCUUUCUUCCCUAAAGUGCAAAGCAGAAGUUUUCAGGCCUUAAUAACACCCAGAAUCAGCAUAUUUUCUCUUCUGCCACAUCCUAUUUAUUAAAAUGAGUCACAAGGCCAGUCCAGAUUCAAUGUGGGAGGAGACUACACAGGGCAUGAAUACUGGGACGCAUGGUUCAUUGGUGGGGGGGUAAUCUUUGGAAACCAAUUCAACAUUGAUCAAUAAAUGUUUAUAUUACUGGAACUCCAAGUAUGCUCCACUCCCUUAUCCCUUUUUAAAAAAUAUCAUCUUGUGUUGGAACAAGUAUUUGUUGACUAAAAAGUAUUUUGGAAUCAUGUGGUCACCACCCUAACCAAAGUCCUGUAGGACAGGAGUCAUGUAUCUGUUUCUCCUAUGUCACCCCUCAGGCCUAGGACAGGGCUCUCCAUACAGCAGAUAUGAAAUAAAGGCUGCACAUUUUGUUGGAUAUUAAUAUUUCUAUGCCAGCUUUAUUUUUGGUUAAUAUUUUCUUUGUGUAUUUUUUCCUCAACCUUUUCCUUAUAAAUUUUCCAUGUCAUUAUAUUUUAGGUGCAUAUUGUAUAGCUAGGGUUUUUUAAAAAAAUAAUCUUUUUACUGGUGUGUUUCAUCUGUUUUCAUUUAUUCUAAUCACUAAUGUAUUUAGAUUUAUUUCUACCAUCGUAUUUAGUGCUUUGAUUUAUUUUUACUUUUUUUUGGUGGCUGGCCAGUACAGAGAUUGAAGUUGCGACCUUGAUGUUACCAGCCCUGCCUCUAACCAACUGAGCUAACUGGCCAGGCUUGUGCUUUGUUUUUACCACUCUUUUCAUUUGCUUCUUUUCCUUCUUUCAUGCUUUCUACUGGUUUGGAAGUUAUGUAUUUUAUUUGUUCUUUUAGUGGUUACCCUACAAUUUUUAACAGCAUCCUUGUUGAAAGUCUGAAAUUAACCAGUAUCUCCACCUUCAUCCUGGACAAAACCAGAACUUUAAAUGUUUAAACUCUGAUUACCUCUCCCAUCUACAAAGUAUUUUAUUCCCAUGUGGUACUUUUAACUCUCUUCAAAGUACUCAUUAUAAACAUCUUUUUAUUUCAAAUUUACAGUAAAAUUCACUUUUUUGGUGUACUGCUAUGAGUUUUAACAAAUCCUUAGAGCUGUGUAAUCACCAACACAAUCAUCAUACAGAACAGUUCCACCCCCAAAAAACUCAUGUUGCUACUUUGUAGUCAAACCCUCUCUCCUUCCCUUAACCUCUGACAACCACUGAUCUCUUCUCUGUCCUUAUGGUUUUUCUUUUCCUGAAUGUCAAA